rnacentral:rRNA from 1 species
AUUGAACGCUGGCGGCAGGCUUAACACAUGCAAGUCGAGCGCGCGGGGCACGGGUGUGUCAUGUCUGGGAAACUCCCUGAUGGAGGGGGAUAACUACUGGAAACGGUAGCUAAUACCGCAUACCAUCAGAUGUGCCCAGAUGGGAUUAGCUAGUAGGUGGGGUAAUGGCUUACCUAGGAGACGAUCCAUAGCUGGUCUGAGAGGGUGACCAGCCACACUGGAACUGAGCCACGGUCCAGACUCCGACGGGAGGUAGCAGUGGGGAAUAUUGCACAAUGGGCGCAAGCCUGAUGCAGCCAUGCCGCGUGUGUGAAGAAGGCCUUCGGGUUGUAAAGCACUUUCAGCAGGGAGGCGUUACUCGCAGAAGAAGCACCGGCUAACUCCGUGCCAGCAGCCGCGGUAAUAC